rnacentral:rRNA from 1 species
UAAUGUAUCGGAACGUGCCCAGUCGUGGGGGAUAACUGCUCGAAAGAGCAGCUAAUACCGCACACGACCUGAGGGUGAAAGCGGGGGAUCGCAAGACCUCGCGCGAUUGGAGCGGCCGAUAUCAGAUUAGGUAGUUGGUGAGGUAAAGGCUCACCAAGCCGACGAUCUGUAGCUGGUCUGAGAGGACGACCAGCCACACUGGGACUGAGACACGGCCCAG